UAAACGGCUCUUUUCAGAGCCACCCAAAUUUUGUAAAGAGCAUAUU
rfam:Ciona savignyi cont_60720, whole genome shotgun sequence.